rnacentral:rRNA from 1 species
GAUGAACGCUGGCGGCGUGCUUAACACAUGCAAGUCGAACGGAAAGGCCCAAGCUUGCUUGGGUACUCGAGUGGCGAACGGGUGAGUAACACGUGGGUGAUCUGCCCUGCACUUCGGGAUAAGCCUGGGAAACUGGGUCUAAUACCGGAUAGGACCACUUCUUGGAUGUUGUGGUGGAAAGUUUUUUCGGUGUGGGAUGAGCUCGCGGCCUAUCAGCUUGUUGGUGGGGUAAUGGCCUACCAAGGCGUCGACGGGUAGCCGGCCUGAGAGGGUGUACGGCCACAUUGGGACUGAGAUACGGCCCAGACUCCUACGGGAGGCAGCAGUGGGGAAUAUUGCACAAUGGGCGCAAGCCUGAUGCAGCGACGCCGCGUGGGGGAUGACGGCCUUCGGAUUGUAAACUCCUUUCGCUAGGGACGAAGCGUUUUGUGACGGUACCUGGAGAAGAAGCACCGGCUAACUACGUG